UGGCUCUCGCAUCGAUGAAGAACGCAGCGAAAUGCGAUAAGUAAUGUGAAUUGCAGAAUUCAGUGAAUCAUCGAAUCUUUGAACGCACCUUGCGCUCCUUGGUAUUCCGAGGAGCAUGCCUGUUUGAGUGUCAUGGAAUCAUCAACUCUUAUUUCUUUUUCAGAGAUGAGAGCUUGGACUUGGAGGUCUUUGCUGGCUUUUCGUGCCGGCUCCUCUUGAAUGCAUUAGCUUGAACCUUUGCUGUAUCGGCCUCGGUGUGAUAAUUGUCUACGCUGUGGCUGUGAGGCUUUUUUAAAAAACGGGCUCAGCUUCCAAUGGUCUGCUUGCGGACAACAUCUUAUUGACCUCUGACCUCAAAUCAGGUAGGAUUACCCGCUGA
rnacentral:misc_RNA from 1 species